GUGUAGUAUGAAAGGAGAGACAAACGUCUCUAGACUCCCCUAGACAAGGAUGGAACACAUAUAAAUGGUAAGGCACUGUCGCUUUUCGGCGGCUCUUACCAGAUUUUUCG